GUAAAUGAAUCUUCAUCAAUUUUCAUUUUCUCUAGUCUUUACAAAGAAAUUACUCAUGAAAUCCAGUAUUGAUGAAGAAGAAGGUGAUAUUAAUGCCGCAAUUACAAAGGGUCUGCCUUCUUAGAGAAAUCAAAUCAACAGAAUACCAAAAGGGAUUGUUGAUUUGCUCUCCCAAAUCAUUGUCAUGUUCCUCAUCUUCUUCGGCUUCUUUCAUCAUAACUUCACAUUGGGUCUGCAAUCAACAUUGAUCAUCUCUACAAUGUAAUUCACUCAUUUCUCAAGACAUCAUGAGAUCAGAAAUUAUCAAUAGAGCUAUUAUUGUAAUACUUAGCUCCAUUGGCUUCUUUGCAGUUUUUUAACAAGACAUUAGUCCGACUGGAUUACUUUGUUACUGUACUUUCCUCAAUUAAGGGGCUGUUCAAAAUGCUCAACUGCAGCAAGGGAAUUUUUCAGCUACAAAAAAUGGGAUUGAUGUUGUCAAGGAAAUUCUGUUGGCCUUUUUUUCUGAAUAAAAUUAUUUGCCCAAGAAAAUCCUUCUUUCCA